CAUCAGACAGGAUGAGGUCAGGAUGUGUUGUAUCAGGAUCGAGUGUCACAUCCACUGCAUACUGCUGGACCCUCUUCAGCUCGG